rnacentral:rRNA from 1 species
AGAGUUUGAUCAUGGCUCAGAGCGAACGCUGGCGGCAGGCCUAACACAUGCAAGUCGAGCGCCGUAGCAAUACGGAGCGGCAGACGGGAGAGUAACACGUGGGAACGUGCCCUUUGGUUCGGAACAACACAGGGAAACUUGUGCUAAUACCGGAUAAGCCCUUACGGGGAAAGAUUUAUCGCCAAAGGAUCGGCCCGCGUCUGAUUAGCUAGUUGGUGAGGUAACGGCUCACCAAGGCGACGAUCAGUAGCUGGUCUGAGAGGAUGAUCAGCCUCACUGGGACUGAGACACGGCCCAGACUCCUACGGGAGGCAGCAGUGGGGAAUAUUGGACAAUGGGCGCAAGCCUGAUCCAGCCAUGCCGCGUGGAUGAUGAAGGCCCUAGGGUUGUAAAGUCCUUUCGGCGGGGAAGAUAAUGACGGUACCCGCAGAAGAAGCCCCGGCUAACUUCGUGCCAGCAGCCGCGGUAAUACGAAGGGGGCUAGCGUUGCUCGGAAUCACUGGGCGUAAAGCGCACGUAGGCGGCUUUUUAAGUCAGGGGUGAAAUCCUGGAGCUCAACUCCAGAACUGCCUUUGAUACUGAGAAGCUUGAGUCCGGGAGAGGUGAGUGGAACUGCGAGUGUAGAGGUGAAAUUCGUAGAUAUUCGCAAGAACACCAGUGGCGAAGGCGGCUCACUGGCCCGGUACUGACGCUGAGGUGCGAAAGCGUGGGGAGCAAACAGGAUUAGAUACCCUAGUAGUCC